rnacentral:rRNA from 1 species
UACGUAGGGUGCGAGCGUUAAUCGGAAUUACUGGGCGUAAAGCGUGCGCAGGCGGUUUUGUAAGCCAGAUGUGAAAUCCCCGGGCUUAACCUGGGAAUGGCAUUUGGGACUGCAAGGCUUGAGUGCGGCAGAGGAGACUGGAAUUCCUGGUGUAGCAGUGAAAUGCGUAGAUAUCAGGAGGAACACCGAUGGCGAAGGCAGGUCGUCUGGGCUGGACACUCGACGCUCAUGCACGAAAGCGUGGGGAGCGAA